rnacentral:rRNA from 1 species
UACGGAGGGGGCUAGCGUUGUUCGGAAUUACUGGGCGUAAAGCGCGCGUAGGCGGCUUUGUAAGUUAGAGGUGAAAGCCCAGGGCUUAACCCUGGAAUUGCCUUUAAGACUGCAUCGCUAGAAUCGUGGAGAGGUGAGUGGAAUUCCGAGUGUAGAGGUGAAAUUCGUAGAUAUUGGGAAGAACACCAGUGGCGAAGGCGGCUCACUGGCUCGUAUCUGACGCUCAGGCGCGAUAGCGUGGGGAUCAAACAGG